rnacentral:misc_RNA from 1 species
GAUGAAGAACGUAGCGAAAUGCGAUAAGUAAUGUGAAUUGCAGAAUUCAGUGAAUCAUCGAAUCUUUGAACGCACAUUGCGCCCGCCAGUAUUCUGGCGGGCAUGCCUGUUCGAGCGCCAUUUCAACCAUCAAGCCCCAGGCUUGUGUUGGGGACCUGCGGCUGCCGCAGGCCCUGAAAACCAGUGGCGGGCUCGCUGUCACACCGGGCGUAGUAGAUUUUAUCUCGCUCAGGGCGUGCUGCGGGUCCCGGCCGUUAAAAGCCUUUUUUUACCCAAGGUUGACCUCGGAUCAGGUAGGAAGACCCGCUGAACUUAAGCAUAUCAAUAAGCGGAGGA